ensembl:lncRNA
AUGGGGGCACGCAGAGCUCCAGGCAGUUCCCUCAUCACCCUGGCAGGGAUAAGAAGGCACCAUCAGCCCCGAGCUGGGUGGGCGCAGCUCUGGCUGUGCACCCCUCUUGCCAGUGCCCCAGGGGCCACAGGCUCUGGUGCUGUGGCAGCACUUUCUCCGAGAACUGGGAACCCCCCUGCCACCCUGAGGAAGGAGUUCUCACCUGGCCACCACCUGCACACCCUGGAGGUGGGUCACGGCGCUGAGAAGCGCGUCCCAGCCGCCCCGCUGCAGAGCAGCAGCUUCAAGGCCCGCACCGCGGACCUGCGGGAGGAGAACGGUGCGAGUCGCAGCGGGAGCCGCAGCACUGGGUCCCUGGGUGCAGGGGGGGGUGGGGAUGUGGCACCUGCUGGGAGUGAGCUGGCCCUGCUGGUGCUCCACCCAGAAGAUUUCCACCUCCUGCUCCGUCUGCUCCGUGGUGAAGGACGCUUGCAAGAGGAGGGCCAGGAAGAGCUGGGGGAAAAUGGCCUCCACCUCCUUCAGGACAAGAGGCAGCUGGAAUAUCUCAGGGGGAGGGAUGGGAGGAAGGCUGAGCUCCCACUCUGUGUGACAGAAGACACGCAACAGUAACUGGCACCCAACGUGGGGCACGAUAGCAGCUGAGCUGAAGUAAAAAAAUGGGACUGCUCUGGUGCUCUCACGUCUCAAGAGCCAGCAGGACAACACCAAGCUGAGGGGGGAUCACAUCCCCAUGGCAAGCACUUCUGAACAGAAUCACUCCUUGUAUCUGCAGGGCAGGCACUGGAAGCAGAGGAUGCCAGCUCUCAGGGCCUGUCCCUGCAGCAGAAACCAAAGCACCGGGAGCGUGAGCAGGGGCUGGUCCAUGCUCCUGACAACACCUACAUGUUACCUGGCCUGCUGCUUUAAAAAUAUCCCUAUAAAGUAUUUACGUGUUUCAGUAAUAUGCAAGAGGCUUUUUUUUUUUGCCUGUUUACUGAUGAUUAUUUCUAGUUACUCUUAGUGGGUCAUUUCAUAGAACCAGAGAAUCAUUAUGGUUCGCAAAAACCUCUACAGCUCAUCAAGUCCACCUGUCCACCCACCCGCACCUGCCCACUAACCAUGUCCUGCAGUGCCGCAUCCCAGCAUUUCUUGAACACCUGCAGGGACAGUGACCCUACCACUUCCCUGGGCAGCCUGUUCCAGUGUCUGACCGCUCUUUUGGAGAAGACAUUUUUCCUAACAGCCACUCAGAACCUCUUUUGUCGCAACUUGAGAUCAUUACUUCUUAUCCUAUCGCUGUUACCUGGGAGAAGAGACCAACUCUCCACUUCUCCACCUCCUUUCAGGAGGUUAAAGGACACUCCACCCCAGAGGGAUGCUGCCUUCUCUAGAGUGACUUGCCUCUCAUUAAAAUUCAACUCUCUUCUCCUUACGGUUAAUCACAUUUCAUUACCCACAGCUCCCUCCCCGGGAUGUCUCUUGGGUGAACUUCAUCCCGGACCUGUGGUAAAGGUACUGGAAGUGAGAGCACUCACCUUUCAGAGUUUUCUUGAGAUGAGCCAGGAGACCUCCGAGUUGCUGAAGGUCAAAAUAAUCCACCUUCCCGUUAUAGAAUGGUUGAGGAGGGAUAUAGGCCUCUGAAGUAGAGAAGGAAACUCGUCUGU